rnacentral:rRNA from 2 species
AGUGGCGGACGGGUGCGUAACACGUGAGCAAUCUGCCCUCCAGUGGGGGAUAGCCGGCCUAACGGCCGGGUAAUACCGCGUAACACCUCGGGAUCGCAUGGUUCUGAGGUCAAAGCCGCAAGGCGCUGGGGGAGGAGCUCGCGACCUAUCAGCUUGUUGGUGGGGUAACGGCCUACCAAGGCAACGACGGGUAGCUGGUCUGAGAGGAUGGUCAGCCACACUGGAACUGAGACACGGUCCAGACUCCUACGGGAGGCAGCAGUGGGGAAUCUUGCGCAAUGGGGGAAACCUUGACGCAGCAACGCCGCGUGGGUGAUGAAGGCCUUCGGGUCGUAAAGCCCUGUCAGGUGGGAAGAAACCUGCGGAUGUUAAUACCACCCGCACUUGACGGUACCACCGGAGGAAGCACCGGCUAACUCCGUGCCAGCAGCCGCGGUAAUAC